rnacentral:miRNA from 1 species
GUCUUGAUCACCGGAAGGGAUUCCUUCCGGUCAUCAAGACUGUAGAGUCUUGAUGACCGGAAGGGAUUCCUUCCGGUCAUCGAGAC